rnacentral:tRNA from 1 species
GCCCUCGUAGUUUAAUGGAUAAAACAAGCCCCUCCUAAGGGCUAGCUGCAGGUUCGAUUCCUGCCGAGGGCA